GAUGAACGCUGGCGGCGUGCUUAACACAUGCCAGUCGAACGAUGAAGCCCAGCUUGCUGGGUGGAUUAGUGGCGAACGGGUGAGUAACACGUGAGCAACCUGCCCCUGACUCUGGGAUAAGCGCUGGAAACGGCGUCUAAUACUGGAUAUGUCCCGUCACCGCAUGGUGUGCGGGUGGAAAGAUUUUUCGGUUGGGGAUGGGCUCGCGGCCUAUCAGCUUGUUGGUGAGGUAAUGGCUCACCAAGGCGUCGACGGGUAGCCGGCCUGAGAGGGUGACCGGCCACACUGGGACUGAGACACGGCCCAGACUCCUACGGGAGGCAGCAGUGGGGAAUAUUGCACAAUGGGCGGAAGCCUGAUGCAGCAACGCCGCGUGAGGGAUGACGGCCUUCGGGUUGUAAACCUCUUUUAGCAGGGAAGAAGCGAAAGUGACGGUACCUGCAGAAAAAGCACCGGCUAACUACGUG
rnacentral:rRNA from 1 species